rnacentral:rRNA from 1 species
CCUACGGGAGGCAGCAGUGAGGAAUAUUGGUCAAUGGGCGAGAGUCUGAACCAGCCAAGUAGCGUGAAGGAUGACUGCCCUAUGGGUUGUAAACUUCUUUUAUAAAGGAAUAAAGCGAGGCACGUGUGCCUUUUUGCAUGUACUUUAUGAAUAAGGAUCGGCUAACUCCGUGCCAGCAGCCGCGGUAAUACGGAGGAUCCGAGCGUUAUCCGGAUUUAUUGGGUUUAAAGGGAGCGUAGAUGGGUUGUUAAGUCAGUUGUGAAAGUUUGCGGCUCAACCGUAAAAUUGCAAUUGAUACUGGCAGUCGUGAGUACAGUUGAGGUAGGCGGAAUUCGUGGUGUAGCGGUGAAAUGCUUAGAUAUCACGAAGAACCCCGAUUGCGAAGGCAGCUUACUAAACUGUGACUGACAUUGAUGCUCGAAAGUGUGGGUAUCAAACAGUAUUAGAUACCCGAGUAGUC